rnacentral:rRNA from 1 species
UACGUAGGGUGCGAGCGUUAAUCGGAAUUACUGGGCGUAAAGCGUGCGCAGGCGGUUUUGUAAGCCAGAUGUGAAAUCCCCGGGCUUAACCUGGGAAUGGCAUUUGGGACUGCAAGGCUCGAGUGCGGCAGAGGAGACUGGAAUUCCUGGUGUAGCAGUGAAAUGCGUAGAUAUCAGGAGGAACACCGAUGGCGAAGGCAGGUCUCUGGGCUGACAUUGACGCUCAUGCACGAAAGCGUGGGGAGCAAACAGG